rnacentral:lncRNA from 1 species
UCAGAUAAAACCCUAAGUCUGGAUCUUGAUUUCAUUUGGAUCCUUUUCUUUAUUUAUUUGAUAAUUAAAUUUGAUACUUAAGGACCGUCAACAAACUCCCCCAAGCUUACCUCUUGCUCGUCCCUGAGCAAGGAUAGACUCAGCAAUGGAUCAUAAGUAGUUGCAAUAUCUUUAAAAAUUGACGGUACACAUGCUUUUUAAAUAAGAUCUCAUCUCUGAGUUAGAGUAAACUGUCAAGACUUAAAACUUACUUACUUUACCUUCACCAUGGGACUUGUAACUGUCACUUCCGUCUUGAGUGGUUAAAAGAUAGAACAGUCUAGCCAAGUGCCAUGUCUCUUAUUCUUGAUCAUCUAUAGCUCUGGGGUUUUUGCAGAUUUUCAAAUAAAACUCAGAGAUUCCUUGUAUGAUUCUCUCAGAUCUCUCUUUUGUGGUAUUUUUGGAUCCUUACCAAGGCAUUGAUGGUAUAUGCCUUCUCUCAAGAUAUGUAGUAUUUGUGGUAUAAGGCAUAGUGACAUUGCCUUCUCUCUCACCCUACUCUAAUAAGGCUUUAAUAUCUGGAGCUCAUAGGUGGGAGAUAAAGUAUACAUACUCACAGGACAUUUAUUGCAUAGUCAAACCAUGGAUCCAAAGAAACAAAUCAAUAAGCCAAAUCAAGAUGUGCAUGUGUGGCGAAUGAAUGGUGUAUGGUGAUGAUGGUGAUAACAAUGGUGAAAACAAUGGUGGUGGAAGUCUAAUUCUACUUUGCUCUUUUUAGGGGAUACAUACCUUCCUUGCUUUUGAAACUUUAUGAGGAGAAUGAGAUGCUCUUCUUUUUCUUGUCUCUGAGGUGGGUAUCUUGUACCCCUAAUUCUACUGUCGGACAGUUGUCCAUUUUUACCUCUCGUCUCACUCUUUCUUUUCUUUCGAGGUUCCGAGCACUUGCUCCUUUUUAUUUUCUCGUAUAUUUUUUUUAUUUUCUUCUUUUUUUUAGAGCACUCAUCUCUUGAGAUAAUAUAGCAAGUGGUAGUAACAAGAUAACUUGAGCAUUUAUUUCACAAGGGGAAACAGAAAUAUUUUUGGUUAUUCUCUCCCGGAUUAGGAGUAGAAUAUUUUUAGGUGGUUCUGGAGAUGGAAAUGGAUGGAUAUAUGUGGAUGGUACUUCCGGAGUAGAAGUAGCAUAUAUGAGUGAACGUGCAAGUGAAAUCUUGAUUUAACCACAUGACAAGCUCCUAAGGGUCUACACAGCUUGACCACACUCAAUGCUCAUAAGCAGUAAAUAAUAAAUGUGUGGCUCAAAGUCUAGCAAGCAUGUAUAUAUGGCGGUGGUAGGAAUUUAAGCUCUCAUCAUACAGGAACUCAUCAUGCAACAUUUUAAAGAUUUUCAAAGAUAAAAUUCUCCAGAAUUCUAGCAUCUCUAGGAACAGAUAAACAGCAGCUCAACCUUCCCAUAUCGUAUCCGUUAACAACUUAGACUUCAGAUCAAGUUUUCAUCCCACAAGUUUAGGUCUAGGGCAAGCUUUAAAUUAUAACAGUUAUAUCUAAACUUGAGAGAGAACUUAGAAUGUGCAAAUUAGGUAGAGCAACUAUUCAUCAUAUCCAUGCUUAAGUUUUUGUUUAGAUACAGAUUAGCAUAGCCACUUUAUUUAUUUAUUAAACACACUAAGCAAAAGACAUAUAUAAGCAUAAAAUCUUUAUUUGGUUUUCCCAUAGUUUAUGUGUAUUUUAAUAUUCUAAAAUAAUAUAAGUAUAAAAAUAGAUAGAAAUACUUAUCGAGGUAAAUGGGGGUUUUCCCAUAGUUUAUGUGUAUUUUUAUUUUCUUUUUAGGAUAGUGCGAACAUGAUUAACUAAGUAAACUAGUUGAAAUAAUUAAAAGGGAAAGGAUAACUACUAAGUUUACCUCUUGGCAGGGCGUUCGGUGUUUUUAAGUCCUCCGAACGGGACUCUCCAAUUUCUUAAUCGUCCUGAGGUUCGUUGGGUGGCGAAGUCGUUACUUCUGGCAGCGCCUCCUCUUCUUGUAUAGUUAUCUUCAUUUUCCAUACCUGACUCGAUGCUUCAAUCUCCUCUGGAUAAUUCUGUUUAAACUCCACGUCUUCUGACCUUACAACUUCUCCUUCAUAGUCUGCCCAUCCGUCCUUGAUGAUCUGCCUCCUCUGGUUGCGGUUGCGUCUCUUUCUGACCUGCUUAGAUUCUUCAAUGAUAUAGUUAGGGUCAGUAAAAUAACGGCGUACCUUCUCUGAGGGGAAGUGCAUAUGGACUUCUCCGGUUCCAAUGUAGAUAAUUGCUUUAACGGUGCUGAGGAACGGUCUUCCAAGGAUGAUGGGUGGAUCGUACUCGUCUUCUCCUAUGUCAAUAACUUGAAAGUCUGUGUAGACAAAGUGAUCGUCUAUUUUGACUCGGACAUCGGAUAUUAUUCCUUGAACUUCUCGAAAUGUCUGAUCUGCCAUCUGGAGCUGAAUGUAUGUUGGUCUUAGUGGCAUGGUCCCGAACAAGAGCCGAUAAGUGACUGCGGCCAUUAUGUUGACGCCCGAUCCGGUGUCGCAAAUCGUCUUGUAGAAGUUAUAUCCAUUUACGGAGCAGUAGAUGCUUGGCAUUCCUGGGUCGUCCUUCUUGGUCAAACACGGUGACUUAAGUUGGUGAUCUUGGCCUCCAUGGACUACAGUGACCAUCUUAGCUGACUCGGUCCAUACUUGCUUGUUCCUAUUUCUCCUGUUGGUCCUCUUCCUUGAUUCACGUCUGGAUUGAUCUGGAAUUCGUGUAGUCUUGUUCUUGAAGAAAAAUGUCUCCUUGUAAGGACCUUGAUGUCGCCUAGAGGGGGGUGAAUAGGCGUACCAAAAAAACCUGAAACUCAAAACUCAAGUUGCGGAAGUUAAAUGCCUGUCGGUACCACCGACAGUUUGGGCCGGUACUACUGGUGUAAGACAGCCAGUACUACCGACGCAACUGUUGGUACUACCGACGCCCUAAGAGGGCUACGAAAUCAGAGUAUUUUGAGUUUCUAUUCCAGAUGUGAGAGUUACCCCACUCUCCUAGAUGUAGUAGAGGAUGAUGUUGAAGUUCCCUUGGCUUGGUUCUUCUCCAAAACAUAGAUCGGCCCUUGUUCACCUAUGAACGGGGUAGAUAGGAAGAACACAAAAAACACAAGAACAAGGGUAGUCGAAGCUACCUCCACAGCAAGACAUGAUAUUUAUCCCGUGGUUCAGCUCGCCACCAAGGCUUGCCUAUGUCCACGUUGUUGAGGAAGCCACACAGGCUUUUCGGGUCUCUUUCAACCCUAUCCUCGUUCUCAAGUCAAGAGAGCAAUCCCUUGAGAUGAGGGGUGAUUUCACUAGGUGAUUUGAGUGACUACAAACCUCCCGAGGCUACCACAUGAGUAGGAAGCUCUACGGGCAAUGCCUAGCCGGCUAGGAGCCUUGCUCCAAGAGUAACAAACACAAAUCCAACCGGCUUGACGAAGAAAUCAAGUGCUCAAGCUUUGCUUUGAUGUUUCUCUCACCAAGAAUCCUUCUCUCACUCAAUCCCUUGCAAGAUUUGAAGUUAGGAGCAAAGGGGAUACACGAGAGGGGCUUUUGGGAGCUAGAGAGGUGCCUUGGCUGAAGGUUUGGUCGAGUGGAAGAGUGAGCCAACGGUUAGAAAGAGGGGAAAGCUAUUUAUACAGGUGUUCAGAACAACUGCCGGUACUACCGGGGCAACCACCGGUACCACCGGCUACCUCAGAUCUAACGGUAAGAAGUCUCUAUGAUUUGCGAGAAAUAAGCCUACCGGUACCACCGGGCUUUUGUCGGUACUACCGACCAUUGCCGGUACCACCGGUGGAAGGCCGGUACCACCGGCAGUUCAAAUCUCCGCAACCAAAGUCAGCGCGGAUUUGGCCUGCCGGUACUACCGACGUUUCACACCGGUACUACUGGUGCUGGCCGGUACCACCGGCCCGAGCCCGGUACUACCGGUAGUUCAUUUUCUUGCAAAACUCAGGAGAAAGGGCUGGCAUUGCCGGUACGACCGGCCCUGAGGGUUGGUACUACCGGGUCACCUUGGCAGAGAAGAAAUUUCGUGAGUGCCUAAGAGUGCAAGUGUUAGAGUGUCUCUCUUUUGAUUAGUUUUAAUACUUGAGCACUCUAUCUUCCUCAAACCAACUAAAUUUGCAUCCCUCUUUAUAGUGCGGCAAAUCCUAAACUCAAGGUCAAAAGUAUAUAACCAAUUUAACCACUUGAGUCUUCAAUGUCUUCAUAUGCCACUUCUUCUCAAUAUCACUUCAUCAAGGAUGCAAUUAACUUUGUCUCAUCUUCUUUGAGUAAAUAUAGCUUGAGCAUGUGACUUUAAUCAUUUCAACAUAUGUGAGUUCAAUCCAUGACUUCAAGUCACUUCCAUUAAAGAUUUUGAUCCUCAACACAAUAUGACUCAUCAUAGCUUAAUUAGUACCUCGACUCAAUGCAAGUACUCUCUUCUUCACCUUAGCCAUGGUACCUCGGUCUACAAGCCAUUGCUUGACCUUCACCUUCGCUUAGUCCCUCGAAGCCUUUUCCUUGCUAUCUUCACUCUAUCAAGCCAUACUCAAGUCACAUCAUGUUAAGCAUCCAUUGAAAAAUUGUUUCUUCAAUAUUGUGAUUCUUGCUUGAAUAUCUUCUUGAUAUGAGCGUUAACAUUAAACAAGCUUCAGUUUACACCAACACACAACUUUGGUCUUCAUUUGAACAAUGUGUGAAAUACCAUCAAGUUUGCUUUCUUGUUGACCCUUUGAUACACUUAGCAAACUUGUUAGACCCUUAAUUGUGUUGUCAUUCAAUUCACCAAAACCCACUAAAGGGCUAGAUGCACUUACACUCCUUCUUCCCUUUGACGUAUAAACUGAUCUUGGCAGCUCUGGCGUAGAUGAUAGCUCCUGUGGUGUUCAAAAAUGGCCUUCCUAGGAUGAUAGGUGCUCUCUCAUCAUUUCCGGUCUCUACCACUACGAAGUCUGCUGGGGCAUACAAGGUACCAACUCGGACACAAAGGUUCCUCACUAUUCCUUUUGGAAAAGUUAUCGUCUGAUCUGCAAACUGCAAACACAUGGUUGUCUCUAAUAAAGGAUAUGUAAAGAAUUUCUCAUAGAGUACCCUGGGUAUAAUGUUGACGCUAUAGCCAAAGUCAUAGAGUGCUUCUGGAACAUCCACCAUGCCGAUGGAGAUCGGGAUGACGGGGCGUCCUGGAUCGCCUCUCUUGACCGGCAGACGGUCAGUAGAAAAUUCAGUGACGGGGUUACUCCAAUUACCUGCAUGAAACAUGUCUACAAGAUUUGCAGAUUCUAAUCCUUCCGUUUGUGAUGGUAUACCGGGGUUAGUAGUAGGAACAGCAGCAACUAUUUGAUUUAACUGAGAUUCAAUCAUUUUAUUAAAGCUAAUUUGAUUCUUGAUGGCAGUAGAGAAAUUAUCCAUUCUAUUAUUUAUAUUUUCUAGCAUUUUAUCAUUUGAUGCCAAUUUCUUAGACAGGUUAUCCAUUAGCUUUCCUUGAUUAGACACUAACUCUCUCAAAGGUGGAAAAUUAUUAUUAUUGUUGUAAGAAUUGUUACCUUGAUAAUUACCUGAGUAGUUAGGCCUCUGUUGAUUCCAACCUUGAUUUUGUUGAGGACGGUUGUAGUUGUUGUUGUUGUUGUUGAUGUAGUUCACAUCCUCAAGCAUCUUAGGGCAGUGGUUGCCUGAGUGUCCAGUGUCUCCACACUCCUCACAAGCCAAAAAUGCUUGUUGGGUAUUCUUAACAUCAUUACCAAAAGUAGACUAAGUUCUCUAAAUCUAGUAACGGUGCCAAAAAUGUCAAACCUAUCCCUCACACCACUUAAGCCAAGUUGUCAUCCCCAGCAUGAUAUAAGAGACGCGGUAUUGAAAUAUGCAAUUGCUCUUCUAAAUAAAUAAUGAAUUGGAUCUGCAAGCGCACAGAUUAAUACCGAUGUAGCAUUUUAACCGGGAAGUAUUCCAGGUAUCGUUAUUUAUAUUUUUACCACUGGGAAGGGAUUAGCAAUCAUCACUACUGAUUACAGAAUAGAAUAUGAGAUUGAGCAUCUAUCAUUGCAUGUAUAAUUGAGAACAUUAUAUCUAACUCUUCAUACAGGGAUAAGUGUCACAUAAAGGAUAUAUGAAAUAAUAAUAGUGACAAAGAUAAGUAAUCUGAUCUAGCCACAUAAUAAAUAUGAUAAGCACCUCAAUUAGAUACUCUAGAAAGUCAUUAGCAUGGUAUUAGAACGAACUACAAGAAUAUUCCCUAAGUUAUUCUCAACUAUAUAGUCUAGCAUAUCAUAGUUAGUGCAAGCAUACUUAGCAAUCAUUGCGAGACAAGACUACGCCCAUGCAUAGUGAUAUUAGCAAGGAAUAUGAGAAACAUAGCAAUCACUCCCCUGUAAUAAUGUUGCUCUGCCAGCCCAAUACACGAGAGGGGGACUAUAUAAGAAUCAAUGAAGCUGUCACUAUCACGAACCACCCCACGAUCUGGCAUAUUGGGUACAAUCGCAGAUAAAUACGGUAUAAGCACCACGCCUACACAAUAUCUAUCAUUUACCCAUGGAUCUGAUGGAUAAACGCUAUACGAUCCUAAGCAUGUAUAUAGAUCCAAUCUAACUAAGCCAAGUACAUAACUAUGAUAAACUAAGAACAAUAUAAUCUUGAAUAUAAGCAAGUAGAGCAAGGUCAUAAGCAAUAUAUUGAAGUAGAACAAAGUCAUAUUCAUAAUAUUGAAGAACAAAGAUAAUUAGAAAGCAAUUAGAAGCACAAUUAGAGAAUUACCAAGAAUCCUCUUGACAGAUCCGAAAACCAAUCGAAGAUUGACUCCUUCUAGUUCUAAUCCUAUGUAGCUAUGCUAAUCUAGAUAUCUAAUUGAUGUGGUGGCUCUAAUCUUGAUCAGAGGCUUCUUCUCCCUUGAUGGAACAAUGAAUUAGGGUUGAGAGGCUCUCUCCUCCAGGGGCCAGGGGGUCUGGUUUUAUAGUCCCUUCAAGUGAAUAUGGGCCCUUGGAUCAAACCGACAUAGAUUGUAUGGUUUAGAUUCAUCCUUUAGGUCGGUGGAGACUUCCCGCAAAGCAGAGUCCUGAUUGGACUUGGGAGCAGGGCGGGCGCCCAGUAGGACAGGGCGGGCGCCCUGUCUCUAGCCCUGAUUCGCCUCAGCUUCGGUCUCGUGGCUUCUGGAGUCUUCUAGAUGUAAGAUAAUUGCGCAGCACGUUAAUACCUUUACGUAAUCCUGACAUGUGGGCCUUUCUUCCAUAUUUCCUGAUAACCCCCUGCAGAAAUAGACAAACACCAAAACUCGUGGAAUUCUGUCAGAUAAAACCCUAAGUCUAGAUCUUGAAUUCAUUUGGAUCCUUUUCUUUAUUUAUUUGAUAAUUAAAUUUGAUACUUAAGGACCGUCAACAAACUCCCCCAAGCUUACCUCUUGCUCGUCCCUGAGCAAGGAUAGACUCAGCUAUGGAUCAUAAGUUGUUGCUAUAUUUUAAAAUUUUGACGGUACACAUGCUUUUAAAUAAGAUCUCAUCUCUGAGUUAGAGUAAACUGUCAAGAUUUAAAACUUACUUACUUUACCUACACCAUGGGACUUGUAACUGUCACUUCUGUCUUGAGUGGUUAAAAGAUAGAACAGUCUAGCCAAGUGCCAUGUCUCUUAUUCUUGAUCAGCUAUAACUCUGGGGUUUUUUGCAGAUUUUCAAAUAAAACUCAAAGAUUCCUUGUAUGAUUCUCUCAGGUCUCUCUUUUGUGGUAUUUUUGGAUCCUUACCAAGGCAUUGAUGGUAUAUGCCUUCUCUCAAGAUAUGUAGUAUUUGUGGUAUAAGGCAUAGUGACAUUGCCUUCUCUCUCACCCUACUCUAAUAAGGCUUUAAUAUCUGGAGCUCAUAGGUGGGAGAUAAAGUGUACAUACUUACAAGACAUUUAUUGCAUAGUCAAACCAUGGAUCCAAAGUAACAAGUCAUUAAGCCAAAUCAAGAUGUGCAUGUGUGGCGAAUGAAUGGUGUAUGGUGAUGAUGGUGAUAACAAUGGUGAAAACAAUGGUGGUGGAUGUCUAAUUCUACUUUGCUCUUUGAGGGGAUACAUACCUUCCUUGCUUUUGAAACUUUAUGAGGAGAAUGAGAUGCUCUUCUUUUUCUUGUCUCUCAGGUGGGUAUCUUGCACCCCUAAUUCUACUGUCGGACACUUGUCCAUUUUUACCUCUCGUCUCACUCUUUCUUUUCUUUCGAGGUUCCGAGCACUUGCUCCUUUUUAUUUCCUCGUAUAUUUUUUUUAUUUUCUUCUUUUUUCUAGAGCACUCAUCUCUUGAGAUAAUAUAGCAAGUGGUAGUAACAAGAUAACUUGAGCAUUUAUUUCACAAGGGGAAACAGAAAUAUUUUUGGUUAUUCUCUCCCGGAUUAGGAGCAGAAUAUUUUUGGGUGAUUCUGGAGAUGGAAAUGGUUGGAUAUAUGUGGAUGGUACUUCCGGAGUAGAAGUAGCAUAUAUGAGUGAACGUGCAAGUGAAAUCUUGAUUUAACCACAUGACAAGCUCCUAAGGGUCUACACAGCUUGACCACACUCAAUGCUCAUAAGCAGUAAAUAAUAAAUGUGUGGCUCAAAGUCUAGCAAGCAUGUAUAUAUGGCUGUGGUAGGAAUUUAAGCUCUCAUCAUACAGGAACUCAUCAUGCAACAUUUUAAAGAUUUUCAAAGAUAAAAUUCUCCAGAAUUCUAGCAUCUCUAGGAACAGAUAAACAGCAGCUCAACCUUCCCAUAUCGUAUCCGUUAACAACUUAGACUUUAGAUCAAGUUUUCAUCCCACAAGUUUAGGUCUAGGGCAAGCUUUAAAUUAUAACAGUUAUAUCUAGACUUGAGAGAGAACUUAGAAUGUGCAAAUUAGGCAGAGCAACUAUUCAUCAUAUCCAUGCUUAAGUUUUUGUUUAGAUACAGAUUAGCAUAGCCACUUUAUUUAUUUAUUAAACACACUAAGCAAAAGACAUAUAUAAGCAUAAAAUCUUUAUUUGGUUUUCCCAUAGUUUAUGUGUAUUUUAAUAUUCUAAAAUAAUAUAAGUAUAAAAAUAGAUAGAAAUACUUAUCAAGGUAAAUGGGGGUGCUCUCCCCCAAGCUGAAUUUUGACGUAAUUUCUCUUAAUGUAGCUAGCAGGUGGCAGAGGUGUAUUUGAAAGUCAGCAGUAUUCUGACAGCGAUUAGAAUGUCCUCCGUCUGCCAGUCUUCUUGAUUCUUAAAUUCUGUGGAGCUCAAAUAGACAACAAAGCUUGUGGAACUGAUUAAGUGUUAGCAUAAAUAUCUAGCCUUUAUUAUCUUGAGACUCCUCAAUAAAUAUUACUCCCUGUUUUUAUAUUUUUUUAUUUUAUAAAGCAGAAAUGAAAUUUUUAUUUUAUUUUUAUGCCACCACAGUGAAUGUAUUUAUGGGUUUUAUGCCACUCGUAUACUCACAUGGGGCUUACUGUUUUUUCACAUUUUUAUUUUCUUUUUAGGAUAGUGCGAACAUGAUUAACUAAGUAAACUAGUUGAAAUAAUUAAAAGGGAAAGGAUAACUACUAAGUUUACCUCUUGGCAGGGCGUUCGGUGUUUUUAAGUCCUCCGAACGGGACUCUCCAAUUUCUUAAUCGUCCUGAGGUUCGUUGGGUGGCGAAGUCGGUACUUCUGGCAGCGCCUCCUCUUCUUGUAUAGUUAUCUUCAUUUUCCAUACCUGACUCGGUGCUUCAAUCUCCUCUGGACAAUUCUGUUUAAACUCCACGUCUUCUGACCUUACAACUUCUCCUUCAUAGUCUGCCCAUCCGUCCUUGAUGAUCUGCCUCCUCUGGUUGCGGUUGCGUCUCUUUCUGACCUGCUUAGAUUCUUCAAUGAUAUAGUUAGGGUCAGUAAAAUAACGGCGUACCUUCUCUGAGGGGAAGUGCAUAUGGACUUCUCCGGUUCCAAUGUAGAUAAUUGCUUUAACGGUGCUGAGGAACGGUCUUCCAAGGAUGAUGGGUGGAUCGUACUCGUCUUCUCCCAUGUCAAUAACUUGAAAGUCUGUGUAGACAAAGUGAUCGUCUAUUUUGACUGAGACAUCAGAUAUUAUUCCUUGAACUUCUCGAAAUGUCUGAUCUGCCAUCUGGAGCUGAAUGUAUGUUGGUCUUAGUGGCAUGGUCCCGAACAAGAGCUGAUAAGUGACUGCGGCCAUUAUGUUAACGCCCGAUCCGGUGUCGCAAAUCGUCUUGUAGAAGUUAUAUCCAUUUAUGGAGCAGUAGAUGCUUGGCAUUCCUGGGUCGUCCUUCUUGGUCAAAAACGGUGACUUAAGUUGGUGAUCUUGGCCUCCAUGGACUACAGUGACCAUCUUAGCUGAAUCGGUCCACACUUGCUUGUUCCUGUUCCUCCUGUUGGUCCUCUUCCCUGAUUCACGUCUGGAUUGAUCUGGAAUUUGUGUAGUAUUGUUCUUGAAGAAAAAUGUCUCCUUCUUUCCUUUGAUGUAGAAACUGAUCUUGGCAGCACUAGCAUAGAUGAUAGCUCCCGUGGUGUUCAAAAAUGGCCUUCCUAGGAUGAUAGGUGCUCUCUCAUCAUUUCUGGUCUCAACCACUACGAAGUCUGCUGGGGCAUAUAAAGUACCAACUCGGACACAAAGGUUCCUCACUAUUCCUUUUGGAAAAGUUAUCGUCUGAUCUGCAAACUGCAAACACAUGGUUGUUUCUAACAAAGGAUAUGUAAAGAAUUUCUCAUAGAGUACCCUGGGUAUAAUGUUGACGCUAGAGCCAAAGUCACAGAGUGCUUCUGGAACGUCCACCAUGCCGAUGGAGAUCGGGAUGACGGGGCGUCCUGGAUCGCCUCUCUUGACCGGUAGACGGUCAGUAGAAAAUUCAGUGACGGGGUUACUCCAAUUACCUGCAUCAAACAUGUCUACAAGAUUUGCAGAUUCUAAUCCUUCCGGUUGUGAUGGUAUACUGGGGUUAGUAGUAGGAACAGCAGCAGCUAUUUGAUUUAACUGAGAUUCAAUCAUUUUAUUAAAGCUAAUUUGAUUCUUGAUGGCAGUAGAGAAAUUAUCCAUUCUAUUAUUUAUAUUUUCUAGCAUUUUAUCAUUAGACACCAAUUUCUUAGAUAGAUUAUCCAUUAGCUUUCCUUGAUUAGACACUAACUCUCUCAAAGGUGGAAAAUUAUUAUUAUUGUUGUAAGAAUUGUUACCUUGAUAAUUACCUGAGUAGUUAGGCCUCUGUUGAUUCCAACCUUGAUUUUGUUGAGGACGGUUGUAGUAGUAGUUGUUGUUGUUGUUGAUGUAGUUCACAUCCUCAAGCAUCUCAGGGCAGUGGUUGCCUGAGUGUCCAGUGUCUCCACACUCCUCACAAGUCAUGUGAGAGUCGUAGAUGUGCAUAACUUCUUUCUUGUCUCUAGCUCUAUCGUCGAGCUUCUUCAUGAGCAGGUCUAGCUUUGCAGACAGCAUGCCUACCUCCUUGAGCUGAUGUAUACCUCCACCUCUCUUGCGUGUCUGGGUCCUCUCUUCAUUCCAGCUUUGGUUGGACGCCAUCUUCUCCACAAGAGCUGUGGCUUGUGGUAUAGUAAGUGAUAAGAAUGCUCCUCCAGCUGCAGCAUCCAUGGUCUCUCGGGCACUGUUGCUGAGGCCAUGAUAGAAUGUCUGCAUCAGUAGCCAACUCUCCAUUCCAUGAUGGGGACAUUCUAGGAUGUAGUCUUGAAAGCGCUCCCAUGCUUCUGGAACAGAUUCAUCAUUUUAUUGCUGAAAACUUGUAAUCUUCCCACGGAGAGCAUUGGUCUUGCCCAUGGGAAAGAACUUAGCCAGGAAGUUUGUUGAGCAGAGUGCCCACGUAGUAUUCUUCUCCUUUGUAGCGUAGAACCACUGCUUCGCUCUUCCUAACAGUGAGAAUGGGAAGAGGCGAAGUAGUAUAGCGUCUUUGGAAACUCCUGCUAUGGUGAAUGUGUUGCAAAUCUCCAGGAAGUGUUGUAAAUGAGCACUAGCGUCUUCGUGUGCCUUCCCACAGAACUAGUUGGAUUGCACCAUGUUGAUAAGUCCAGGCUUGAGCUCAAAGUUGCCAUCGAUCUCUGCAGCAGGUCCAGUGCGGAUGUUGUCCGUAGUGGGAGCUGAGAACUCGCGGAUUGAUUUGUUCGCCAUUGCUUCGAACUCUGAAGACAAGUUCCGGUGAUCUUCUUGAUUGGAUGAAGCUUCUUCGUGAAGUGUUGAUGAUUUCUUUAGCUUGGCUCUCGUCUUCUUGAAUAAUGCUUCAGGAUUGUCAACAAAAUUUCCUGGAAGAUGUCUUCUAUUCAUACAUUCCCCUGCAUAAGAUAAAAUAGAAAAAUAUCGGGGUAAAACUGUAUGAGAGAAUAGAUAAGCUCAAUCAUAUUAGUGAUGCGAAUGAUAACUCAAAAUCUUUUUAUUCCAUUCCUGAUUAGUAAUAAACCUUCCCCGGCAACGGCGCCAAAAAUGCUUGUUGGGUAUUCUUAACAUCAUUACCAAAAGUAGACUAAGUUCUCUAAAUCUAGUAACGGUGCCAAAAAUGCCAAACCUAUCCCUCACACCACUUAAGCCAAGUUGUCAUCCCCAGCAUGAUAUAAGAGACGCGGUAUUGAAAUAUGCAAUUGCUCUUCUAAAUAAAUAAUGAAUUGGAUCUGCAAGCGCACAGAUUAAUACCGAUGUAGCAUUUUAACCGGGAAGUAUUCCAGGUAACGUUAUUUAUAUUUUUACCACUGGGAAGGGAUUAGCAAUCAUCACUAUUGAUUACAGAAUAGAAUAUGAGAUUGAGCAUCUAUCAUUGCAUGUAUAAUUGAGAACAUUAUAUCUAACUCUUCAUACAGGGAUAAGUGUCACAUAAAGGAUAUAUGAAAUAAUAAUAGUGACAAAGAUAAUUAAUCUGAUCUAGCCACAUAAUAAAUAUGAUAAGCACCUCAAUUAGAUACUCUAGAAAGUCAUUAGCAUGGUAUUAGAACGAACUACAAGAAUAUUCCCUAAGUUAUUCUCAACUAUAUAGUCUAGCAUAUCAUAGUUAGUGCAAGCAUACUUAGCAAUCAUUGCGAGACAAGACUACGCCCAAGCAUAGUGAUAUUAGCAAGGAAUAUGAGAAACAUAGCAAUCACUCCCCUGUAAUAAUGUUGCUCUGCCAGCCCAAUACACGAGAGGGGGACUAUAUAAGAAUCAAUGAAGCUGUCACUAUCACGAACCACCUCACGAUCUGGCAUAUUGGGUACAAUCGCAGAUAAAUACGGUAUAAGCACCACGCCUACACAAUAUCUAUCAUUUACCCAUGGAUCCGAUGGAUAAACGCUAUACGAUCCUAAGCAUGUAUAUAGAUCUAAUCUAACUAAGCCAAGUACAUAACUAUGAUAAACUAAGAACAAUAUAAUCUUGAAUAUAAGCAAGUAGAGCAAAGUCAUAAGCAAUAUAUUGAAGUAGAACAAAGUCAUGUUCAUAAUAUUGAAGAACAAAGAUAAUUAGAAAGCAAUUAGAAGGACAAUUAGAGAAUUACCAAGAAUCCUCUUGACAGAUCCGGAAACCAAUCGAAGAUUGACUCCUUCUAGUUCUAAUCCUAUGUAGCUAUGCUAAUCUAGAUAUCUAAUUGAUGUGGUGGCUCUAAUCUUGAUCAGAGGCUUCUUCUCCCUUGAUGGAACAAUGAAUUAGGGUUGAGAGGCUCUCUCCUCCAGGGGCCAGGGGGUUUGGUUUUAUAGUCCCUUCAAGUGAAUAUGGGCCCUUGGAUCAAACCGACAUAGAUUGUAUGGUUUAGAUUCAUCCUUUAGGUCGGUGGAGACUUCCCGCAAAGCAGAGUCCUGAUUGGACUUGGGAGCAGGGCGGGCGCCCAGUAGGACAGGGCGGGCGCCCUGUCUCUGGCCCCGAUUCGCCUCAGCUUCGGUCUCGUGGCUUCUGGAGUCUUCUAGAUGUAAGAUAAUUGCGCAGCACGUUAAUACCUUUACGUAAUCCUGACAUGUGGGCCUUUCUUCCAUAUUUCCUGAUAACCCCCUGCAGAAAUAGACAAACACCAAAACUCAUGGAAUUCUGUCUGAUAAAACCCUAAGUCUAGAUCUUGAAUUCAUUUGGAUCCUUUUCUUUAUUUAUUUGAUAAUUAAAUUUGAUACUUAAGGACCGUCAACAGAGAUCAUACCUCUUCUACAGAAUCAAAGUUAGGGUUUCAAUUCUUCAUCCAAGUAGAGAGGAUCCCUCUAGUUCUUCUAGUUCUACCUCUAGUUCAUCAAGAUCUAGUUCUAGUUCAUCUAGUUCUAGUUCUAGUUCCUCUAGUUCUAGUUCUAGUUAGUUUUAGUUGUAAUAUAGAAAAUAGGGAGAGAGAAGAGGAGAGCGGAGGAGGAGCCGGAUCUGUCGGAUCUUCCUCAACAUUAUACUUUUGCAGCAUCUGGUUCGUUCUUCAUCGUUCUCCAGGUUCUUCAAUUCAUAAUCCUGAGUUCUCUAAUUACUUUUAUUUACAUUCAAGUUAUUUAUUAGAUUCCCGCUUGCAAUAAGUGCUCUAGUCUUUAUAACGCUAGAGUAGUAAUUAAUAGAUUAGACGUGGUGUUUAGUCUUGCAAUUACCUGGAAUUGCACCCAAUCUUGCGGAUUGUUGUGGUAGCCUUAGGGUAGUGACGGCCCUAACGGUCGACGUAUUCCACCUCGUUCGGAUCGGUGUUUGUAGGACCGUAGUCGGAGCUUCCUAGCCCCCUUCUCAUCUCUUUUUGUGGUUAGUGUUCUUAUGUCCCGAAAUAGAUAAUCUUGAGGUAAUUCUUGAUUCUUAGAUCAACUAGAGAACUCUUAGGAAACUUCCUCUCUUCCCACCAAAAAAAACAAUUAUAUAUUUAUCCUUAGGCGAUCUUGGAUCUUAAUUAGUACACUCACGUUCUCUGUGGAAAAUCGAUACUCUGGAAUACUCCCGGGUGAAGGCUACAUCGGUAUCCGUGCACUUGCGGAUUUUUCUGUUUGCGUUUAACAUACCCAACAACAUGAAGCAAUUAGACUAAAGUCCUAAGUGAGAAUAAUACAACAUACACUACACUUAGCACUAGUUCAUAUAAUACACUACUAGCCCUAGGGUAGCAUUAUACGAUAAGAACUAUAUACUAAAAUGUAUGUCAUAUUAUUUUCACUAGAACUAUAUUCUAGUUCAUAUGCUAGCAUCAUAAAACAUGGCCUAUGAUCUAUAUCAUAUACCAUAGCAUAAGAACUAUACUCUAGUUCAUAUGAAGAACAAUAUCGCACAUGAUAAGGCAUGGACUUGGAGUAAAGAUAUUCUUUAUUCAUACCCAAGUUUCUCUCCAAGGAGCCAAGCCCUCCUUGAUAGCUCACCCAACUCUCUCUCUAAAAGCUAAAAGGAAAAACUAAGAAGAGGUAGUGCCCAAGUGCCUUGAAGGUGGAGUGUUGAUUGUGAAUGUGAUGAGAUGAAUGGAGCCUCCCUCUCCCCCUCCUUAAAUAGGUGGGGAAGGUCAGUUCCCCAGGGUGUAAACUGCAAUUUGGACGCGGGGACUACUGGAGGAUAGGCUCAGCACCGCCUCUGCGAAAGGCGGUGCCGAGAUGGGCUGGGUCAGGGUCGGCCGACCCUAGGGGGCAGCCGCCCUCUGGUGGGCCCCGCUGGCCCCGGCCCGAAGCCCGUUGCCUUCCUCUCGGGCCCCUGAGUCCAGAUCCACCUGCAAAUUGAUGCACUUCUAUAUUGGGCUUUUGGGUACUUGUUUAUUUGCGCAUUUUUUGACGUGUCGGAUUGCGCCUUUUUAUUUUCUUUCUACCUGUAUGUCUGUAUAUGAUCUGCAAAACACAACUUGCACUACAUGUGGAACUUGGUAAGCAUUUAAUAAGUAUAUGUGAGUAAAAUACAUGCUUUUCUUCCUUUGCAUAGACUAUGUUGGCGGGUUAAAUAUGUCAUUAAGAACCGCCAACAAACUCCCCCAAGCUUACCCCUUGCUCGACCUCGAGCAAGAAGCUAAGAUCUUUGUUGUUGAUGAGGAGUUGCUACAAUAUUUUCACUUCUAUCCAGUACAUACCUUCAAACAAGAAUUCUCCUUCGAAUUUUGAACAGAUAUGUCAUGGGGCUUAUUGCUCAUACCUUGGGUCCUUAAGCAUUUGCAGGAUGGAUUUGAUCAGAUCGAGCGCUAUGUCCCUAGUUCUUUACUUCACUUUUGUUCUGGAGUUUUUGAUUUUCAAAACAUAGCACAUUUAUUUGUCAAAUGAAACAAUGGAUCCAAAGAGAAAGUUAAUCAUACCAUUGAAUUUUUGAAAACUUUUUCUUUUCCAUCAUUCUCUUUUUGUCUAUUAGAGACACAUGGCUAUGUUAAUUCUACUGUUGGGCACUUGCCCAUUUUUUUUUUAUUUUUUUCGAGGUUCCGCACACAUGUCCCUUUUUAUUUCCUCGUGAUCUUUCUUUUUGAGGUUUCAGACACAUGUCCCUUUUUAUUUCCUCGGAUGCUUUUCUUUUCUUUUUCAUAGCCAUAUGUCUUCUAACAAACCUUUGAGAUGAUAACAUAAUGAAAUAUUUUUGUUUUCAAUGGUAUGACAACCUCUCAAAGGGUCAACAAAGCUUAAUCUAACUCAAUGUGAUUAUUUUAUUUUUGUAAAAACUCUAGAACUCUAGCGUUGUUUAGAACAGGAUACUAGCAGCUCAUAUCAUCACAAAUAUAUCCAUUAAUUGCUUUAGACUUUAGAUAGAGCAUUUUGCAACCCACGCAUUUAAUCAUUUUAUUAAUUUGGAGAAUUCAAGGUUGAAACUAGAUACUGGAAAGAAAUUACGAUAGAGCAACUAUUCAUCAUUUCAACAAGGAAGAAGCAUAUAUCUUACAUCACAUAUAAGAGUGGAAUUAUAUUUUUGUCUUUUUAGCAUUUUUCAUCAUUUAUUUUAUAUGGAAUAAUUAAAACAUGAAUUUAACUAAUGGAAAUUUCAUAAAGUAAACAUGCUAAUUUAAAAUUAAGGAUGCAUGAAAAUAAAUAUGUAAUGCAGAUAACCUCGGGAUUGGGGGUCCUCCCCCAAGCUAGCUUCUGGCCUACUGAUCGGGGUUGUACCCCAUGUACCGCCAGAAGUCUUGGGACUGUUUCAGCAGCUGAUCUUGGCGAGCUUGCAUUUCUUCUUGCUGCUGCUGGUGCCAGGCCUGUUGUUGCUGUUGCCAUAGCAACCCUUGCUGGUGCCACUCCACGGCCUGCUGGUGGUGCGCAUCGGUGGUUUGGAUGUGUUGUUGGAGACUAUCCUGGAUCUCAUCCGUGCGCACCACCAGUCCCCCAAGCUGAGCUUGGAGGCGCUCCAAGUCGGUUCGGCCUACUGUGGAGGCCGAAGGAUGUUCUUGUGGUGAUUCGGCCCUCCAGCACGAUUGUUGUUCCCAAGCGCUGGAAUCCGCCUCAGCCCACCCCUCAACACCUUAUGUCGGCAUGGGUGUGUCCCACCCCGACUGGUAGAUCGGCUGUGUAUAGGAGGGUGGUGGCUGGGAGCUAGAUCCGCCGAUGUCCCUACCAGAAACACUACGCCUUCAUGCAGUUUCAGCUGUCUGCAGAUCAAAGGUUAGUCUCCCAGAGUUAUACAAGCGUAGACCCGGGUUAGGUAACCGGAUUACGUUUGUAUACCCUAGGACAUAAAACACAAGACCGCCCGCAUUAUCUCUUUUCAAAUGGUGACCUUGGAUAAGAUAGGUUUCAUUAAUCAUGGUGCGUGGAAUUUGAAUAUAAUCAAGAUCUUGCCCUUCCAACGCACCAAUGGCCAUGGCCACACGUGUUAUGAGUGAAGUCAUUGGGGUGGUUGUCUUGAUUAUAUCUAACCAAUGCCUUACAAUUUCUUGCACAGGCGCAACUUUUAUUUUCAUUCUAGCCGCGUAAAGUAACCUCAUUUCAUUUACUCGCACAACGCGGGUAUCCUGGCUAGGAAACAUUGUUAUGGAUAGCCAAAGGUGUAAAAACCUUAGAGUGGGGUGUUGGAUGUGGGCAUUUCUAGGAUAGUAUUUUCUAGUGUGAACUUGCCCCGUGAUUUCUUCCCAAAACUUAUCCUUAUUAAACCCUUUUAUGGCAUGCACUAAAUCAAGAGAGCAUCUUUGACGAAAACCAAGGAAUUUGCUUAAGUCUUUCCAAAAGAUAGCAUAUUCAUUUCCAAAUAAACGAACAAAAAUACCUUCAUAUGUUUCUCUUAAAGUGCAUAGGAAUUGAAUGGUAAGGGUAUAGGAUCCAUACUCAGUUAUGGGGUGAAUGUUGUCCCACCCGGCGGCUUUCCAUAUGGAGAGGAAUUCAGAGUCCAUACCGAUGUCGGAGAGGAGCGAGUCAUUGUAGACCGGCGUAUGGAGGAAGAUCCGGUCCUUGAGAUCCGGUACUACCGGUAGUUCAUUUUCUCGCAAAACUCAGGAGAAAGGGCUGGCAUUGCCGGUACGACCGGCCCUGAGGGUUGGUACUACCGGGUCACCUUGGCAGAGAAGAAAUUUCCUGAGUGCCUAAGAGUGCAAGUGUUAGAGUGUCUCUCUUUUGAUUAGUUUUAAUACUUGAGCACUCUAUCUUCCUCAAACCAACUAAAUUUGCAUCCCUCUUUAUAGUGCGGCAAAUCCUAAACUCAAGGUCAAAAGUAUAUAACCAAUUUAACCACUUGAGUCUUCAAUGUCUUCAUAUGCCACUUCUUCUCAAUAUCACUUCAUCAAGGAUGCAAUUAACUUUGUCUCAUCUUCUUUGAGUAAAUAUAGCUUGAGCAUGUGACUUGAAUCAUUUCAACAUAUGUGAGUUCAAUCCAUGACUUCAAGUCACUUCCAUUAAAGAUUUUGAUCCUCAACACAAUAUGACUCCUCAUAGCUUAAUUAGUACCUCGACUCAAUGCAAGUACUCUCUUCUUCACCUUAGCCAUGGUACCUCGGUCUACAAGCCAUUGCUUGACCUUCACCUUCGCUUAGUCCCUCGAAGCCUUUUCCUUGCUAUCUUCACUCUAUCAAGCCAUACUCAAGUCACAUCAUGUUAAGCAUCCAUUGAAAAAUUGUUUCUUCAAUAUUGUGAUUCUUGCUUGAAUAUCUUCUUGAUAUGAGCGUUAACAUUAAACAAGCUUCAGUUUACACCAACACACAACUUUGGUCUUCAUUUGAACAAUGUGUGAAAUACCAUCAAGUUUGCUUUCUUGUUGACCCUUUGAUACACUUAGCAAACUUGUUAGACCCUUAAUUGUGUUGUCAUUCAAUUCACCAAAACCCACUAAAGGGCUAGAUGCACUUACACUCCUUCUUCCCUUUGACGUAUAAACUGAUCUUGGCAGCACUGGCGUAGAUGAUAGCUCCUGUGGUGUUCAAAAAUGGCCUUCCUAGGAUGAUAGGUGCUCUCUCAUCAUUUCCGGUCUCUACCACUACGAAGUCUGCUGGGGCAUACAAGGUACCAACUCGGACACAAAGGUUCCUCACUAUUCCUUUUGGAAAAGUUAUCGUCUGAUCUGCAAACUGCAAACACAUGGUUGUCUCUAAUAAAGGAUAUGUAAAGAAUUUCUCAUAGAGUACCCUGGGUAUAAUGUUGACGCUAUAGCCAAAGUCAUAGAGUGCUUCUGGAACGUCCACCAUGCCGAUGGAGAUCGGGAUGACGGGGCGUCCUGGAUCGCCUCUCUUGACCGGCAGACGGUCAGUAGAAAAUUCAGUGACGGGGUUACUCCAAUUACCUGCAUGAAACAUGUCUACAAGAUUUGCAGAUUCUAAUCCUUCCGUUUGUGAUGGUAUACCGGGGUUAGUAGUAGGAACAACAGCAGCUAUUUGAUUUAACUGAGAUUCAAUCAUUUUAUUAAAGCUAAUUUGAUUCUUGAUGGCAGUAGAGAAAUUAUCCAUUCUAUUAUUUAUAUUUUCUAGCAUUUUAUCAUUUGAUGCCAAUUUCUUAGAUAGGUUAUCCAUUAGCUUUCCUUGAUUAGACACUAACUCUCUCAAAGGUGGAAAAUUAUUAUUAUUGUUGUAAGAAUUGUUACCUUGAUAAUUACCUGAGUAGUUAGGCCUCUGUUGAUUCCAAUCUUGAUUUUGUUGAGGACGGUUGUAGUUGUUGUUGUUGUUGUUGAUGUAGUUCACAUCCUCAAGCAUCUUAGGGCAGUGGUUGCCUGAGUGUCCAGUGUCUCCACACUCCUCACAAGUCAUGUGAGAGUCGUAGAUGUGCAUAACUUCUUUCUUGUCUCCAGCUCUAUCAUCGAGCUUCUUCAUGAGCAGGUCUCGCUUUGCAGACAGCAUGUCUACCUCCUUGAGCUGAUGUAUACCUCCACCUCUCUUGCGUGUCUGGGUCCUCUCUUCAUUCCAGCUUUGGUUGGACGCCAUCUUCUCCACAAGAGCUGUGGCUUGUGGUAUAGUAAGUGAUAAGAAUGCUCCUCCAGCUGCAGCAUCCAUGGUCUCUCGGGCACUGUUGCUGAGGCCAUGAUAGAAUGUCUGCAUCAGUAGCCAACUCUCCAUUCCAUGAUGGGGACAUUCUAGGAUGUAGUCUUGAAAGCGCUCCCAUGCUUCUGGAACAGAUUCAUCAUUUUGUUGCUGAAAACUUGUAAUCUUCCCACGGAGAGCAUUGGUCUUGCCCAUGGGAAAGAACUUAGCCAGGAAGUUUGUUGAGCAGAGUGCCCACGUAGUAUUCUUCUCCUUUGUAGCGUAGAACCACUGCUUCGCUCUUUCUAAUAGUGAGAAUGGGAACAGGCGAAGUAUUAUAGCGUCUUUGGAAACUCCUGCUAUGCUGAAUGUGUUGCAAAUCUCCAGGAAGUGUUGUAAAUGAGCACUAGCGUCUUCGUGUGCCUUCCCACAGAACUGGUUGGAUUGCACCAUGUUGAUAAGUCCAGGCUUGAGCUCAAAGUUGCCAUCGAUCUCUGCAGCAGGUCCAGUGCGGAUGUUGUCCGUAGUGGGAGUUGAGAACUCGCGGAUUGAUUUGUUCGCCAUGGCUUCGAACUCUGAAGACAAGUUCCGGUGAUCUUCUUGAUUGGAUGAAGCUUCUUCGUGAAGUGUUGAUGAUUUCUUUAGCUUGGCUCUCGUCUUCUUGAAUAAUGCUUCAGGAUUGUCAACAAAAUUUCCUGGAAGAUGUCUUCUAUUCAUACAUUCCCCUGCAUAAGAUAAAAUAGAAAAAUAUCGGGGUAAAACUGUAUGAGAGAAUAGAUAAGCUCAAUCAUAUUAGUGAUGCGAAUGAUAACUCAAAAUCUUUUUAUUCCAUUCAUGAUUAGUAAUCAACCUUCCCCGGCAACGGCGCCAAAAAUGCUUGUUGGGUAUUCUUAACAUCAUUACCAAAAGUAGACUAAGUUCUCUAAAUCUAGUAACGGUGCCAAAAAUGCCAAACCUAUCCCUCACACCACUUAAGCCAAGUUGUCAUCCCCAGCAUGAUAUAAGAGACGCGGUAUUGAAAUAUGCAAUUGCUCUUCUAAAUAAAUAAUGAAUUGGAUCUGCAAGCGCACAGAUUAAUACCGAUGUAGCAUUUUAACCGGGAAGUAUUCCAGGUAUCGUUAUUUAUAUUUUUACCACUGGGAAGGGAUUAGCAAUCAUCACUAUUGAUUACAGAAUAGAAUAUGAGAUUGAGCAUCUAUCAUUGCAUGUAUAAUUGAGAACAUUAUAUCUAACUCUUCAUACAGGGAUAAGUGUCACAUAAAGGAUAUAUGAAAUAAUAAUAGUGACAAAGAUAAUUAAUCUGAUCUAGCCACAUAAUAAAUAUGAUAAGCACCUCAAUUAGAUACUCUAGAAAGUCAUUAGCAUGGUAUUAGAACGAACUACAAGAAUAUUCCCUAAGUUAUUCUCAACUAUAUAGUCUAGCAUAUCAUAGUUAGUGCAAGCAUACUUAGCAAUCAUUGCGAGACAAGACUACGCCCAUGCAUAGUGAUAUUAGCAAGGAAUAUGAGAAACAUAGCAAUCACUCCCCUGUAAUAAUGUUGCUCUGCCAGCCCAAUACACGAGAGGGGGACUAUAUAAGAAUCAAUGAAGCUGUCACUAUCACGAACCACCCCACGAUCUGGCAUAUUGGGUACAAUCGCAGAUAAAUACGGUAUAAGCACCACGCCUACACAAUAUCUAUCAUUUACCCAUGGAUCCGAUGGAUAAACGCUAUACGAUCCUAAGCAUGUAUAUAGAUCCAAUCUAACUAAGCCAAGUACAUAACUAUGAUAAACUAAGAACAAUAUAAUCUUGAAUAUAAGCAAGUAGAGCAAAGUCAUAAGCAAUAUAUUGAAGUAGAACAAAGUCAUAUUCAUAAUAUUGAAGAACAAAGAUAAUUAGAAAGCAAUUAGAAACACAAUUAGAGAAUUACCAAGAAUCCUCUUGACAGAUCCGGAAACCAAUCGAAGAUUGACUCCUUCUAGUUCUAAUCCUAUGUAGCUAUGCUAAUCUAGAUAUCUAAUUGAUGUGGUGGCUCUAAUCUUGAUCAGAGGCUUCUUCUCCCUUGAUGGAACAAUGAAUUAGGGUUGAGAGGCUCUCUCCUCUAGGGGCCAGGGGGUCUGGUUUUAUAGUCCCUUCAAGUGAAUAUGGGCCCUUGGAUCAAACCGACAUAGAUUGUAUGGUUUAGAUUCAUCCUUUAGGUCGGUGGAGAUCUCCCACAAAGCAGAGUCCUGAUUGGACUCAGGAGGUGGGCGGGCGCCCUGACCAACUGGGCGGCCGCCCACGGUCUGGCCCCAUUUCGCCUCCACUUCGGUCUCGUGGCUUCUGGAGUCUUCUAGAUGUAAGAUAAUUGCGCAGCACGUUAAUACCUUUACGUAAUCCUGACAUGUGGGCCUUUCUUCCAUAUUUCCUGAUAACCCCCUGCAGAAAUAGACAAACACCAAAACUCAUGGAAUUCUGUCAGAUAAAACCCUAAGUCUGGAUCUUGAUUUCAUUUGGAUCCUUUUCUUUAUUUAUUUGAUAAUUAAUUUUGAUACUUAAGGACCGUCAACAGCAUCUAUCAUUGCAUGUAUAAUUGAGAACAUUAUAUCUAACUCUUCAUACAGGGAUAAGUGUCACAUAAAGGAUAUAUGAAAUAAUAAUAGUGACAAGGAUAACUAAUCUGAUCUAGCCACAUAAUAAAUAUGAUAAGCACCUCAAUUAGAUACUCUAGAAAGUCAUUAGCAUGGUAUUAGAACGAACUACAAGAAUAUUCCCUAAGUUAUUCUCAACUAUAUAGUCUAGCAUAUCAUAGUUAGUGCAAGCAUACUUAGCAAUCAUUGUGAGACAAGACUACGCCCAUGCAUAGUGAUAUUAGCAAGGAAUAUGAGAAACAUAGCAAUCACUCCCCUGUAAUAAUGUUGCUCUGCUAGCCCAAUACACGAGAGGGGGACUAUAUAAGAAUCAAUGAAGUUGUCACUAUCACGAACCACCCCACGAUCUGGCAUAUUGGGUACAAUCGCAGAUAAAUACGGUAUAAGCACCACGCCUACACAAUAUCUAUCAUUUACCCAUGGAUCCGAUGGAUAAACGCUAUACGAUCCUAAGCAUGUAUAUAGAUCCAAUCUAACUAAGCUAAGUACAUAACUAUGAUAAACUAAGAACAAUAUAAUCUUGAAUAUAAGCAAGUAGAGCAAGGUCAUAAGCAAUAUAUUGAAGUAGAACAAAGUCAUAUUCAUAAUAUUGAAGAACAAAGAUAAUUAGAAAACAAUUAGAAACACAAUUAGAGAAUUACCAAGAAUCCUCUUGACAGAUCCGGAAACCAAUCGAAGAUUGACUCCUUCUAGUUCUAAUCCUAUGUAGCUAUGCUAAUCUAGAUAUCUAAUUGAUGUGGUGGCUCUAAUCUUGAUCAGAGGCUUCUUCUCCCUUGAUGGAACAAUGAAUUAGGGUUGAGAGGCUCUCUCCUCCAGGGGCCAGGGGGUCUGGUUUUAUAGUCCCUUCAAGUGAAUAUGGGCCCUUGGAUCAAACCGACAUAGAUUGUAUGGUUUAGAUUCAUCCUUUAGGUCGGUGGAGACUUCCCGCAAAGCAGAGUCCUGAUUGGACUUGGGAGCAGGGCGGGCGCCCAGUAGGACAGGGCGGGCGCCCUGUCUCUGGCCCUGAUUCGCCUCAGCUUCGGUCUCGUGGCUUCUGGAGUCUUCUAGAUGUAAGAUAAUUGCGCAGCACGUUAAUACCUUUACGUAAUCCUGACAUGUGGGCCUUUCUUCCAUAUUUCCUGAUAACCCCCUGCAGAAAUAGACAAACACCAAAACUCAUGGAAUUCUGUCAGAUAAAACCCUAAGUCUAGAUCUUGAAUUCAUUUGGAUCCUUUUCUUUAUUUAUUUGAUAAUUAAAUUUGAUACUGAAGGACCGUCAACAAACUCCCCCAAGCUUACCUCUUGCUCGUCCCUGAGCAAGGAUAGACUCAGCUAUGGAUCAUAAGUUGUUAAAUAAGAUCUCAUCUCUGAGUUAGAGUAAACUAUCAAGAUUUAAAACUUACUUACUUUACCUACACCAUGGGACUUGUAACCGUCACUUCUGUCUUGAGUGGUUAAAAGAUAGAACAGUCUAGCCAAGUGCCAUGUCUCUUAUUCUUGAUCAGCUAUAACUCUGGGGUUUUUUGCAGAUUUUCAAAUAAAACUCAGAGAUUCCUUGUAUGAUUCUCUCAGGUCUCUCUUUUGUGGUAUUUUUGGAUCCUUACCAAGGCAUUGAUGGUAUAUGCCUUCUCUCAAGAUAUGUAGUAUUUGUGGUAUAAGGCAUAGUGACAUUGCCUUCUCUCUCACCCUACUCUAAUAAGGCUUUAAUAUCUGGAGCUCAUAGGUGGGAGAUAAAGUGCACAUACUUACAAGACAUUUAUUGCAUAGUCAAACCAUGGAUCCAAAGUAACAAGUCAUUAAGCCAAAUCAAGAUGUGCAUGUGUGGCGAAUGAAUGGUGUAUGGUGAUGAUGGUGAUAACAAUGGUGAAAACAAUGGUGGUGGAUGUCUAAUUCUACUUUGCUCUUUGAGGGGAUACAUACCUUCCUUGCUUUUGAAACUUUAUGAGGAGAAUGAGAUGCUCUUCUUUUUCUUGUCUCUCAGGUGGGUAUCUUGCACCCCUAAUUCUACUGUCGGACACUUGUCCAUUUUUACCUCUCGUCUCACUCUUUCUUUUCUUUCGAGGUUCCGAGCACUUGCUCCUUUUUAUUUCCUCGUAUAUUUUUUUAUUUUCUUCUUUUUUCUAGAGCACUCAUCUCUUGAGAUAAUAUAGCAAGUGAUAGUAACAAGAUAACUUGAGCAUUUAUUUCACAAGGGGAAACAGAAAUAUUUUUGGUUAUUCUCUCCUGGAUUAGGAGCAGAAUAUUUUUGGGUGAUUCUGGAGAUGGAAAUGGUUGGAUAUAUGUGGAUGGUACUUCCGGAGUAGAAGUAGCAUAUAUGAGUGAACGUGCAGGUGAAAUCUUGAUUUAACCACAUGACAAGCUCCUAAGGGUCUACACAGCUUGACCACACUCAAUGCUCAUAAGCAGUAAAUAAUAAAUGUGUGGCUCAAAGUCUAGCAAGCAUGUAUAUAUGGCUGUGGUAGGAAUUUAAGCUCUCAUCAUACAGGAACUCAUCAUGCAACAUUUUAAAGAUUUUCAAAGAUAAAAUUCUCCAGAAUUCUAGCAUCUCUAGGAACAGAUAAACAGCAGCUCAACCUUCCCAUAUCGUAUCCGUUAACAACUUAGACUUCAGAUCAAGUUUUCAUCCCACAAGUUUAGGUCUAGGGCAAGCUUUAAAUUAUAACAGUUAUAUCUAAACUUGAGAGAGAACUUAGAAUGUGCAAAUUAGGCAGAGCAACUAUUCAUCAUAUCCAUGCUUAAGUUUUUGUUUAGAUACAGAUUAGCAUAGCCACUUUAUUUAUUUAUUAAACACACUAAGCAAAAGACAUAUAUAAGCAUAAAAUCUUUAUUUGGUUUUCCAAUAGUUUAUGUGUAUUUUAAUAUUCUAAAAUAAUAUAAGUAUAAAAAUAGAUAGAAAUACUUAUCAAGGUAAAUGGGGGUGCUCUCCCCCAAGCUGAAUUUUGACGUAAUUUCUCUUAAUGUAGCUAGCAGGUGGCAGAGGUGUAUUUGAAAGUCAGCAGUAUUCUGACAGCGAUUAGAAUGUCCUCCGUCUGCCAGUCUUCUUGAUUCUUAAAUUCUGUGGAGCUCAAAUAGACAACAAAGCUUGUGGAACUGAUUAAGUGUUAGCAUAAAUAUCUAGCCUUUAUUAUCUUGAGACUCCUCAAUAAAUAUUACUCCCUGUUUUUAUAUUUUUUUAUUUUAUAAAGCAGAAAUGAAAUUUUUAUUUUAUUUUUAUGCCACCACAGUGAAUGUAUUUAUGGGUUUUAUGCCACUCGUAUACUCACAUGGGGCUUACUGUUUUUUCACAUUUUUAUUUUCUUUUUAGGAUAGUGCGAACAUGAUUAACUAAGUAAACUAGUUGAAAUAAUUAAAAGGGAAAGGAUAACUACUAAGUUUACCUCUUGGCAGGGCGUUCGGUGUUUUUAAGUCCUCCGAACGGGACUCUCCAAUUUCUUAAUCGUCCUGAGGUUCGUUGGGUGGCGAAGUCGGUACUUCUGGCAGCGCCUCCUCUUCUUGUAUAGUUAUCUUCAUUUUCCAUACCUGACUCGGUGCUUCAAUCUCCUCUGGACAAUUCUGUUUAAACUCCACGUCUUCUGACCUUACAACUUCUCCUUCAUAGUCUGCCCAUCCGUCCUUGAUGAUCUGCCUCCUCUGGUUGCGGUUGCGUCUCUUUCUGACCUGCUU